GCUUCAGCGGCUAAACAUCAAUUGCCGAUAAAUCAUAUAACGGCUAUUGUUAUUGCCGCUAAUGCUAUUUUUUAUUGCUGCCAAAGGCCUUUUUUGUAGUAGUGUAUACACAAAUGGGCUACUUGGAAUCCAUUCUCCUUUGAUCAUUCCUACAUAGGCAUAAAGAGCAGGAAAGCAAGAAAGAUUGAAAAUUCUAUCACGAUAGCAAUUUUGACUAAAGAUAUUGAACUGGUACUUGUGCAUUUGUAUUACUUCCUUUUUUUCAUGAAAACCUUUUACUACAUUGUAUAGAGAAAUUAUUUUUGAAGCUUUUAGGGAGAACAACUUUUUGUUGUUAGAAGGCAAAUUUGUGGUUAUUGGCAUCAAGUGUGUCAUCCUACCCAAAGAUAGAGCACUAUGUUAUGUUGGCAGCGGUUGAAGUCCACCAUUAUAACAGAAGUGAAUUUAUCUUUUUUUAUGUCAUGCCGGUUUUUACGUACGUUGUUCAUUGUGGAGCAAUGUGUCAACAGGUUGCACGACAAAAUAUGUAUUCCAAGUAAUUGACUGCAUUGGAGAAGAGAAGGAUGUGUGAGCUCAUCAAAACUCAUAAUUCUCAAAAAAAUAAUUAUUUAUAUUAGAUACAAGUACUCACUGGAAUAUUGAAUUCAAAGAUCAGUGGUCAUACUUUACACUUUAUCUGUAUGAGUAGUUCUAAUUAAUUGAGUUAUGUUAGUGUAAGAUAGUAAGAAAUGUUGGCCAUCAGGACCUUACUAACUUAUGAUGUGAUGCAAUUUGUAAUUUCUUCUAUCUAAUUUGUAUUUCUAUAUCAGCUUGGAUGUAAUUAUGGUAUCGUAACGACGGACUUUGUGCAGUAAUAAGCCAUAUGUUUCAAGAUUA